rnacentral:pre_miRNA from 12 species
GGCCUCGCCGCGGGCCCGGGCGGCGCCUCCAGGACUGUCCAACCUGAGAGUGUGUCCCCGCGGUCAGUCUCAGGUUCGUCAGCCCGAGAGGUGCCGCCCCUUCCCCGCGGCGGCCGCU